CCGGACGAUACCCCCGCGGGGACCGAGGUCCGCGCUCCGGCAAGGAUGCUGGCGUAAUGGUCACCAGUGACCCGUCUUGAAACACGGACCAAGGAGUCGUCCAUUAGAGCGAGCGUUUGGGUGUAAAACCCGCACGCGUAAUGAAAGUGAACGCAGGUGAGAGCUUCGGCGCAUCAUCGACCGAUCCUGAUGUUCUCGGAAGGAUUUGAGUAAGAGUUUUAACGGACGGACCCGAAAGACAGUGAACUAUGCUUGUAUAGGGUGAAGCCAGAGGAAACUCUGGUGGAGGCUCGCAGCGGUUCUGACGUGCAAAUCGAUCGUCAAAUAUGAGCAUGGGGGCGAAAGACUAAUCGAACUGUCUAGUAGCUGGUUACCGCCGAAGUUUCCCUCAGGAUAGCAGUGUUGAUCUUCAGUUUUAUGAGGUAAAGCGAAUGAUUAGGGACUCGGGGGCUAUAUACUGCCUUCAUCCAUUCUCAAACUUUAAAUAUGUAAGAAGCCCUUGUUACUUAGUUGAACGUGGGCAUUCGAAUGUACCAACACUAGUGGGCCAUUUUUGGUAAGCAGAACUGGCGAUGCGGGAUGAACCGAACGCGGGGUUAAGGCGCCAGAGUGUACGCUCAUCAGACACCACAAAAGGCGUUAGUACAUCUUGACAGCAGGACGGUGGCCAUGGAAGUCGGAAUCCGCUAAGGACUGUGUAACAACUC
rnacentral:ncRNA from 1 species